UUCCUUGUAGUCUGAAUGGUAAAAUUUUCCUCGGGGGAAAACCUAAUGGGGGAAGUUCUGGGUUCGAAUCCCAGCAAGGAAG